ensembl:lncRNA
UCUGUCUCUUCUCUCUCUUCUCUGGUUUUUAUAUCUUUUGUUCCGUCUUUUUCUCAUUCUUGGCAUCAGUUUCUGACUCUCUCCGUUCUCUUUUUUCCUGCCUAGCUGCCUCUUUGUCUAUCUCUCUCUCCCUUGCUCUAUCUCUGUCUCUCUUUCUCUUUCUCUCUCUUCCUCUCCCUCUCCCUACCCCCUCUCUAUCUCUCUCUCCCUCCCCCCCCCCCCCUCUCUCUCUCUCUCUCUGUGUGUGUGUGUGUGUGUGUGUGUGAAUGCAUGUGGGGGCAGGUAGCAUGUAUAUUUCCUGGAGAGCCUGUGGAGGUCAAAGUUUAACUCAAGUGAGGUCUUUCUCAGACUCAUAAAGGACCUAGUAACUGAACUCUACUACCUAUUAUUGGAAAAGCUUUUGUAGGUGAAGAACCCGAAGGAUCUGAGGCUGUGCCAGUACAUGCUGGAGAAAUACUUGACUGGACUCGGGAGUAGGAGCCUAGGCAUUGGCCCACAGAUGUGCUGUUCUCCUUUGGAUACCCGUCGCAACAACACAAUCUUCUCUGUCUACUGGAGUUGUCUUGGUUGUAGAUUUGGAGAUCCUCAAUCUCUCAGCUUAGUUCUCUAAUGUUAAGUCAUAUCGACUCUUAGCAUAGUACUUUAUUUGCCACUGUUCUUUCUACCUUAAUUUUUCCAGAAUUUUCUAUGGGUAAGUUAUUCCAUCUAUAACACUUUAUGAUGUGUAAGCCCACACGAGGGUACCCAGAGCCCAUACACAAUGUACUCUUAUUUACCUGAGAAGUCCAAGCCAGUAACCCCAAUCUUAACUCAGUGGUGAGAAGGAACUUAAAACUUAGAACAGGACUUGUUUUCAUUCCUUUCUUGUUAGUAUCAUUCACAACUUCUGUAGAAGUUGGGAGUCCAGAAAGCAAAGGGUGGGGUUUUCUCACAUGAUCUUGACCCAUGUUGGGUUUUCUGUCUUCCAUCUCCACCUUUAACAUUUAAUAUACCACAUCUCUCCAAAGGUCAUGCCUAUUCUAGUGUGCUGCACUCAGUGACGAAGUUGGAGCAAGUGUCAAAAGAGUGAAGGCCAAGCUCUGACUGUGACAGAGAGUUUGAGAUGGACAAAUGAUGCUUUGAAAAACACGUGACUUCUCGCUGGGACCUCCAUCUCCUGUAAAUAACCAACAACCUGUUCAAGGAUCAAUGUGCCUCUGACAUGAGGACAACAAGGUAGAAGGGAGUCCUCAGAAGGAAACGGGUCUGAGGGCUAACACCGUAAUGCUUCCAACUCUGUCUUCUAGGCAUCACUAACAAAUCUAUAUAGUCCUACCUCCCAGAAGAUGAGUGAAGGUGUUACAGUUAGGAUGAUUGUUGACAUGAGGCUCUCAGAGGUUCACCACAAAUCGGAAGGACAAGAUUGAGAUUGCCAUUCAUAUGGUCUUUCCAUAGUCUCCCCUUGCAAUCAGAAUUGACCAUCACUAUGGACCUCAUCUAUUAGAUGCAGGAUGUCUAGCAAGCCUCUGGACAGGCAGCAUGGCAGAAAUCAACUCUUUCCAAAAAAAACAAAAAAAAAAAGGCUGCUGAUGACACAGUGGAUAGAGCACACACAAGCUCCCUGUCGGACUCCCUCAGCUCCUGCAUGUCUCCUUGGCUAACAUUUCAGAGCUUCUGAUCCUUCAGACAUCAGCUUCUUGAUACUGAAGAGAUUGUUCUACCUGAUGAGCCCAGGCCUAGAAGAUGG